rnacentral:rRNA from 1 species
AGGGGGAGGGGGGGUGCCUACACUGCAACUCGAACGAAGCGCCCGCGCGGAUUCCCUCGGGAUGAAGCGCGGAUCCCUUAAUGGCGGACGGGUGAGUCACGCGUGGGCAACCUGCCCCGUGCCGGGGGACAACAGCCGGAAACGGCUGCUAAUACCGCAUGAUCCGGGAGGGCCGCAUGGCCCUGCCGGGAAAGCUCCGGCGGCACGGGAUGGGCCCGCGUCUGAUUAGUUUGUUGGCGGGGUAACGGCCCACCAAGACUGCGAUCAGCAGCCGGCCUGAGAGGGCGGCCGGCCACAUUGGGACUGAGACACGGCCCAGACUCCUGCGGGAGGCAGCAGUGGGGAAUAUUGCACAAUGGGGGAAACCCUGAUGCAGCGACGCCGCGUGGGCGACGAAGCGCUCCGGCGCGUAAAGCCCUGUCAGCAGGGAAGAACAAAGACAGUACCUGACCAAGAAGCCCCGGCUAACUACGUGCCAGCAGCCGCGGUAAUACGUAAGGGGCAAGCGUUAUCCGGAUUCACUGGGCGUAAAGGGAGCGCAGGCGGCACGGCAAGUCUGGUGUGAAAGCCCGGGGCCCAACCCCGGGACUGCAUUGGAAACUGCCGGGCUGGAGUGCCGGAGGGGUAAGCGGAAUUCCUGGUGUAGCGGUGAAAUGCGCACAUAUCAUGAAGAACACCGGUGGCGGACGCGGCUUACUGAACGGCAACUGACGCUGAAGCUCGAAAGCGUGGGGAGCAAACCAGGAUUAGAUACCCUGGUAAUCCACGCCGUAAACAAUGAAUACCAAGUGGCCGGUGGGCAGGGCCCGCCGGUUGCCGACCUAAUGCCCAAAUUAUUCCGCCUGAGGAA